rnacentral:pre_miRNA from 1 species
GGGGAGCACCGGAUCCUGGGCUGCGUCCCCCGGCGCCCUGGGCUCCCAGGCCUGUGCUGCUGGAAUCCCGCUCCCAGGCUGCGCAGCCCCCU